rnacentral:lncRNA from 1 species
CUAAAAUAGCAUAAUAUAUAUGGUAAUGUUUAUUAGUACAUGUUCGGGGUACACAGUGUUUACAUUCCUUAUGAGGAGUUUCUUCACAACAUCAGUCCACUCAGUUUUAUCUUUAAAAAAAAAAAAUAGUCUUUGCCCAGAAAUCCCAGAAGACCAGCCAUCUCAAGUAAUGAAACAGCAUGACUGA